rnacentral:rRNA from 1 species
GUGUCAGCAGCCGCGGUAAUACGAAGGGGGCUAGCGUUGCUCGGAAUCACUGGGCGUAAAGCGCACGUAGGCGGACUUUUAAGUCGGAGGUGAAAUCCUGGAGCUCAACUCCAGAACUGCCUUCGAUACUGAGAGUCUUCGAGUUCGGGAGAGGUGAGUGGAACUGCGAGUGUAGAGGUGAAAUUCGUAGAUAUUAGGAAGAACACCAGUGGCGAAGGCGGCUCACUGGCCCGGUACUGACGCUGAGGCGCGAAAGCGUGGGGAGCAAACAGGAUUAGAAACCCGGGUAGUCC